rnacentral:rRNA from 1 species
CAUGUCUAAGUAUAAGCAUCUAUACGGUGAAACUGCGAAUGGCUCAUUAAAUCAGUUAUCGUUUAUUUGAUAGUACCUUACUACUUGGAUAACCGUGGUAAUUCUAGAGCUAAUACAUGCUAAAAACCCCGACUUCGGAAGGGGUGUAUUUAUUAGAUAAAAAACCAAUGCCCUUCGGGGCUCCUUGGUGAUUCAUAAUAACUUAACGAAUCGCAUGGCCUUGUGCCGGCGAUGGUUCAUUCAAAUUUCUGCCCUAUCAACUUUCGAUGGUAGGAUAGUGGCCUACCAUGGUUUCAACGGGUAACGGGGAAUUAGGGUUCUAUUCCGGAGAGGGAGCCUGAGAAACGGCUACCACAUCCAAGGAAGGCAGCAGGCGCGCAAAUUACCCAAUCCCGACACGGGGAGGUAGUGACAAUAAAUACUGAUACAGGGCUCUUUUGGGUCUUGUAAUUGGAAUGAGUACAAUUUAAAUCCCUUAACGAGGAACAAUUGGAGGGCAAGUCUGGUGCCAGCAGCCGCGGUAAUUCCAGCUCCAAUAGCGUAUAUUAAAGUUGUUGCAGUUAAAAAGCUCGUAGUUGAACCUUGGGCCUGGUUGGCCGGUCCGCCUCACCGCGUGCACUGGUCCGACCGGGCCUUUCCUUCUAGGGAACCUCAUGCCUUUCAUUAGGUGUGUUGGGGAACUAGGACUUUUACUUUGAAAAAAUUAGAGUGUUCAAAGCAGGCCUAUGCUCGAAUACAUUAGCAUGGAAUAAUAGAAUAGGACGUGUGGUUCUAUUUUGUUGGUUUCUAGGACCGCCGUAAUGAUUAAUAGGGAUAGUCGGGGGCAUCAGUAUUCAAUUGUCAGAGGUGAAAUUCUUGGAUUUAUUGAAGACUAACUACUGCGAAAGCAUUUGCCAAGGAUGUUUUCAUUAAUCAGUGAACGAAAGUUAGGGAUCGAAGACGAUCAGAUACCGUCGUAGUCUUAACCAUAAACUAUGCCGA